GGAGAAAUGGUCGAGUUGGUUUAAGGCACCGGUCUUGAAAACCGACGUACUUUUAUCGGUACCUAGGGUUCGAAUCCCUAUUUCUCCUCCA
rnacentral:tRNA from 1 species